rnacentral:miRNA from 1 species
AGCUGGUUUUGUCAAUC